rnacentral:tmRNA from 1 species
GGGGAUGAUCGGUUUCGACGUGGGUCGCUGCGUCGGGAGAAGCGGGUCGAGAAGGCAGAGUCAUCUCGUUAACGUUCUCUGCAAAAAAAUAAGUGCUGAAUCUAAGCGCACUGACUUCGCUCUCGCAGCCUAAGCUCGAGUAGCAGUCCGUCAGCCCGGGGUCGCUUCCGCCCCGGUUCCUGACGUCAGCUAGGAAGCCACUGCUCGGCGUUCCUGUCAGGGGAACGUCCGGGAACAUUUUUCCUGACUCCGUCCGUCGAUGACGUGUCUGAACGAGCAUCGGGACCUAAGAAACGUCACCUCAGACUGCACCCGGAGAAGACCCGAUAAUGCGCUCGCGGACGCGGGUUCGAUUCCCGCCAUCUCCAC